rnacentral:lncRNA from 1 species
AAAAGAUCUGUUGGUAGGCAAUGCGAAGGUGCAUUCAUGUCAUCCUGCAGGCGGAAUUCUCCACGAGUUUUGAGCAGCCUCGGUUUUCCCACCACCUCCAAAUCAUGGAAGACACAGGGUGCAGGCAGAGCCCCCGGAGCCAUGGCCAGCCCUUCCGGCAGCUCCGAAGCCACUGGCAAGCCCCGAGGCAGGGAUGGCCGGCCCAGGAGGGAGGAGGACGACGUCCCUCCCGGGGAGAAGAGGCUGCGGCUGUUGCUGGAGGGGGGAAGAGCACAGCCCUAGGACUGCGAGGACGGGGAGGACGCGCCGCGGCCGGGCAGGGAGGAGACCGGCACCCAGACAGGUGGCGACGGCAGAGGA